CUAAGAAUAUUCCGCAAUGGACGGAAGUCUGACGGAGCGACGCCGCGUGGAUGACGAAGGCCGAAAGGUUGUAAAGUUCUUUUGCUGGGGAAGAAUAACCGCAGGAGGGAAUGCCUGUGGGAUGACAAGAACCGGCGAAUAAGCCCCGGCCAACUACGUGCCAGCAGCCGCGGUAACACGUAGGGGGGCGAGCGUUGUUCGGAAUUACUGGGCGUAAAGGGCAUGUAGGCGGCUUGGAAAGCCUGGCGUGAAAGUCUGCAGCUUAACUGCAGGGGUGCGCUGGGAACUGCUGAGCUUGAGUGACGGAGAGGGAGCUGGAAUUCCUGGUGCAGGGGUGAAAUCUGUAGAUAUCAGGAAGAACACCGAUGGCGAAGGCAAGCUCCUGGCCGAUGACUGACGCUGAGGUGCGAAAGUGUGGGGAUCAAACAGGAUUAGAUACCCUGGUAGUCCACACAGUCAACGAUGUGCACUAGGUGCUGGGGCGGUAGCUUCGGUGCCGGAGCGAACGUGGUAAGUGCACCGCCUGGGGAGUAUGCUCGCAAGGGUGAAACUC
rnacentral:rRNA from 1 species